GAAACUCAAAUGAAUUGACGGGGCCCGCACAAGCAGCGGAGCGUGUGGUUUAAUUCGAUGAUACACGAAGAACCUUACCCAGGCUUGACAUGCAGGUAUCGGGUUUACGAAAGUAGGCCCACCCUCGGGAGGCCUGCACAGGUGCUGCAUGGCUGUCGUCAGCUCGUGUCGUGAGAUGUCCGGUUAAGUCCGGUAACGAGCGCAACCCUCGCUGUAUGUUAUACGUGUCAUACGGGACUGCCGGUAUCAAGCCGGGGGAAGGUGGGAUGACGUCAAGUCAGCAUGGCCUUUAUGUCUGGGGCUACACACACGCUACAAUGGCCAGUACAAUAGGUUGCAAGACCGCGAGGUGGAGCCAAUCCUAAAAGCUGGUCUCAGUUCGGAUUGCAGGCUGCAACCCGCCUGCAUGAAGUCGGAGUUGCUAGUAACCGCGCGUCAGCUAUAGUGCGGUGAAUACGUUCCCGGGCCUU
rnacentral:rRNA from 1 species